UCCAAAUGACACAAUAUUGGAAGCGCCCUCAAUUUGCUAGUACCUGUUAGUUUUAUCUUCAUCUAAUAAUUCAUUAGAUUUUUUUUUUAAUAUUCAAAUUCAAAAGAAAUUAAAUUUUAGAAAAAAAAUUUAUAACAUUUGAACAAAUAUAAAAAUGAUAUAUGGCGAUGAAUUAAGACUACUUAGCGAGACGCAUGUUAUUGGGAGCUGCCACUGAAGU
rnacentral:lncRNA from 1 species